GAUGAACGCUGGCGGCGUGCCUAAUACAUGCAAGUCGAGCGAACAGACGAGGAGCUUGCUCCUCUGACGUUAGCGGCGGACGGGUGAGUAACACGUGGAUAACCUACCUAUAAGACUGGGAUAACUUCGGGAAACCGGAGCUAAUACCGGAUAAUAUAUUGAACCGCAUGGUUCAAUAGUGAAAGACGGUUUUGCUGUCACUUAUAGAUGGAUCCGCGCCGCAUUAGCUAGUUGGUAAGGUAACGGCUUACCAAGGCGACGAUGCGUAGCCGACCUGAGAGGGUGAUCGGCCACACUGGAACUGAGACGCGGUCCAGACUCCUACGGGAGGCAGCAGUAGCGAAUCUUCCGCAAUGGGCGAAAGCCUGACGGAGCAACGCCGCGUGAGUGAUGAAGGUCUUCGGAUCGUAAAACUCUGUUAUUAGGGAAGAACAAAUGUGUAAGUAACUAUGCACGUCUUGACGGUACCUAAUCAGAAAGCCACGGCUAACUACGUG
rnacentral:rRNA from 1 species